AAACUUAUGGAGAGAAAUAGAUACAAAAUGAGUAGUUGAAGAUGCAGGAAAAUAAGAAGAGAGAAUUCCUGGAGGAGAGAAGUAAGAAGAGAUUCAGAGCACAGGUGGAGGGGCCAUGCUCAGGUGGCCCCCUGCUGGAGAGUGCAUGUCACCACUGCCUUCCUCAACCUCUGCAUGUGGAGUCUGCACUUGACAAGAUCAAUGGACUGCAUUAAAUUGCAGGAAUGGAACUUCAAUUAAUAUUAUAAUAAUCCUCAUUGCUGACAGUAUUUUUUAAGCUCAUUAUCAUCACAUUUCUGCAUGAUGUUUUAAAGAUGCACAAGAGAUUUAAAAAUCCCUGAUUAAAUAUUUCCAGUUCUUACUAAUAUAAAUUAAUACAGCCUAAAAGUGUUAAUGUGAUCAAUGCUAAGAAUAGCAACGUCCACAGUAAAUAUGCUGAACCAUUGUAAAUUGCAAUAUUUAUCUGAUUUAUUUUCUUGAAUGUUGUCUCCUACUCCAAACACAUAUUAUUGGAGAGUUCUGCUAUGUAUAAGAGAUGUCAGAAAUAAUUUUGGCCAGCUAUAUGGGGAUCAAUUUAUGUGUCUAUUAUGCACCUACCAAAUAUUUAGCAUAAUGUAUCAAAAUAGAAUGUGAGAAUAGGUAAUUUGUUAAAAAAGCAAAAAUCAAUACCAUAAGUAAGUAAAUAACUGAAUUAAAUUAAUUAAUGAUUGUUUAAAAUGUAUUAUUCGUUAUACCUCUUGAAAAUUGGGCAAUUAGCAAAAAGUACUAAUUGUACAUUGUAUGUCAUAUAAAAUGUAUAAAAACAUAAAAGUACAUUUUAUGUUUUUAUAUAUUUUUUUCAUUUAAAAGUUGUGGUAAUGGCUUAUGAGGAUACUCACUUUUUUAGACAGAUUGAGGUUCUAUCCUAUAAAUUGGAAAACUGACCUGAACAUUAGAACUACUUUUGGAGUGAAGUUGGCUUAAUAAAAUUCUUAAACAGUUGUUUAAAUGUGAAGGACUGGAGAUAACAUAUAUAAAGCAGUAAAGUAUUUUAUACAAUAUUGGCUCUUUUAAAAAGAUGAUUACCAAUGUGUCUAUAUAAUUAUAUAUAAUAUAUGCAUGUGUAUAUAUUUGAGCCUUUAAAAAAGAUGAUUACUAAUAAUAGUAAUAAUUAUAGUUUUCUGGCGCUCUUAAAUCAUUUUGUUUCAAGAUUCCUGUUAGCCAAAUACAUUUAUAGUAUUCUAUUUUUAGCAUAAACCUUUCCUAAUGAUAUGAAGAGUGUUUGACCUUCUGAACUGAUCCCAGAGCAGUGCAGAGCCUUGGUUGCCAAGCACUGAAAAGGGUAUGUCAACCACCUCUGUUCUAGAGACAACUGGUUUUACUUUGAUGUUUCUUAGUUUUCAUGUUUGAUAUAUCCCCUCUGCCAGAGAACCACAAUUAUUUUUCUGCAUAUGUGUUUGUGACAUUUCUACUCUGGAGAAUUCCUGUGUAAUAAACUCCAUUUCACAAUUUUUUUUGAAUCAAGUGGCAUGGUCUAGACUAAUGGACACAUCUGCAUAUGCUCCAGUACAUUUCUUCAGGGGUACCUUCUAAAAUAUUCUUAUAUUUUAACUGUCUUAGCAACAACAUCAUCACUCCCAAUUAUAGAUCAUGGGACUUCAAAAAGUUCAUGAAAAUUGAAAACACUAUACAUGGAUUUCAAAAUUUUGCUGCACAAAAAAACCCUGGUGUUAACUUGUUAUAACAUAUCUGAACAGGAUCUAGUUUGAGGCACUAAGAAAGAUAAGACAUCAAUUUGAAAAGAGCCCCUAUCAGAGCAACAUAAAUUCUGCUAAUAUUGAAGCAAGAACAAAUACCAAGUUUACGGUGAAGCCUGGGUGGAAGAAUGGUGAAGUCAUUGAUACUUUAUGAAAAGUGUAUGGACACAAGGCCGCAAAGAAAUCAGUUUACAAAUGGAUAGCUUGUUUUAAGAAGUGAUGAAACGGUGUUGAAAAUAAAGCCCAUGGUACCAGACCAUCCACAUUAAUUUGUGAGGAAAAAAUUAAUCUUGUUCAUGCACUAAUUGAAGAGUGUAGAUGAUUACAGCAGAAAUAAUACCCAAUACCAUAGAUGUCUCAAUUGGCUCAGCUUACACAAUUCUGACUGAAAAAUUAAAGUUGAGCAACUUUCCAUUCUGGGUGCCAAAACUGUUGCACCCAAAUCAGCUCCAGACAAGAGCAGAGCUUUCAAUGUAAAUUUUAAAAAAGUGAGAUCAAGAUCCUGAAGCAUUUCUUCAAAGAACUGUAACAGGAGAUGAAACAUGGCUUUACCAGUAUGAUCCUGAAGACAAAACACAGUCAAAGCAAUGACUACCAAGAGGUUCAGUCAAAGCAAAAGCGGACUGACCAAGAGCAAAGGUCACGGCAAUAGUUUUUUGGAAUGCUCCAGUCAUUUUGCUUGUUGAUUUUCUGGAGCACCAAAAAGUGGUAACAUCUGCUUAUUAUGAGAGUGUUUUGAGAAAGCCAAUACUUUAGCAGAAAAACACCCAGGAAAGCUUCACCAGAGAGUCCUUCUCCACUCUGACAAUGCUCCUGCUCAUUCUUCUCAACAAAGAAGUGCAAUUUUAUGAGUGUCAGUGGAAAAUCAUUAGGCAUCCACCUUAUAGUUCUGAUUUGGCUCCUUCUGACUUCUUUUGUUUCCUUAUCUGAAAAAAUCUUUAAAGGGCACCUAUUUUUCUUCAGUAAAUGAUGUAAAAAAGACUGCACUGGGAUGGUCAAAUACCCAUGAUCUUCAGUUCUUUAGGGAUGGACUAAAUGGCUGAUAUCAUCACUUAACAAAAGUGUCUUGAACUUGACAGAGCUUAUGUUGAGAAACAAAGUUUAUAUGUUUAAUUUUUAUCUUUUAAUUCAGUUUUUCUAUGAAUUUUUUGAAGUCUCCUCUUUAAAAUUGUCUUCCUCUUAUAAAGGUUUUUUAAUUUUAUUUUUAAAAAUACUGAGACUAUAAAAAAAGUCUCUAAAAUGUACAUCGUUAAUUCCCAUAACGUACUCUUUAGUUUUACUUAGUAACAUAAAUUGGUUAAAACAAAACAUACAGAAUUUCAUAUUCACAAGUUUGCCUAAUAUGAUGUUUCAGAAAAAUAUUGUAUGUUCUCUUAGUUAAUGCUUAUGUCUUUGCCACUGACUUGUUUACAGAUUAUUUCAUUGGAUUGCCCUCUAAUUCCGAGCUUUUAUAGUCUGAAAUUCACCCAGUGUAUGUGCAGGUCAAAGUCUGGAGGAGCUUUGGGGUAAUAGGAAGAACUCAAGACUCUGUCUGGAGACAUAGGUUUGAAUUCUAGGUCCCUGGGUUCCUAAAUCUCUCUGAGCCUUCAGUUUCCUCAUCUAUGGUAAGUGGAUGACAAUAAUUAGUUUACAGGGUGACUGAGGAUUAAAUGAAAUAAAAUACUUUGAAUACUUAGCAGUGCUUAGUACAUAUUUAAUUUGACAUAAUCUAAAAGUGUUUGCCCAGGUUUGCUGGAAGUAAAAAAUUGGUGCUCAACAUCACCUCUCACUUGAAUGGAAGAAAUAGCCAUUGGACAGAGACAUCCAUAUAUUAAUGAUUGGCUCUGGGUCUGUUUAUUUUUAUUUGAGUCGAUGAAUAAGUGCCCAUACAGCACUUUGUCCACUACUAAGAUUCUUAUACUGUGUUAAUUUCCAUAGCAGCAUUCCUACCUGCUGAGUUUCCUGGAUUUGCUGAGCUAAACAAGUUCAUUCACACCCAGUUCCACCUAGGAUGAAGAUCCAUCUACAGGGCUGGAACUGACAGGGAAAACUUUUCAUCCCAUCUGAGGUCACCUUCACAUACAGGAUUCUGGCUGCUGAUAAGUAUCCUAUCAGGAGAAGAAGAGAAAAAUAAUUUGACACUUACAGCCUGUCUUGAAAGAUGAGAUUCACUUAUCAGCAAACCAGAUGAAGAGAAUCACUGAGCACAGAAAUGAGAUCUGAGCACACUAGAGCUCAACUAAUGUAUCCCUGCCCACAUAGGGUUAGUCUCUACAAAUUGCCUAUUUCAGUUAUUUAGCCCCAUUUUUUCCCAGAGAUGGUGUGUUUCACAUAAUCAAUAGCUGCAAAAUAAAAGCAGCAUCUGCCUUGCCUUCUUUUCCUGUUACUUGGCUGUGGCCUCCUAUCAAUGUGACAAACAGAAGAAGAGAGAAGUAAACAAGAAAUCAAAGAGAUCUAGGGGAGAUGGCUAACGUGGGGGUGAGGAGAGAAGCAAAUACCGGUUUCACAACAGGUUGAAUCAUUGCCAAGGAACCCAGAUUGACAAGUAUGAUAUAUUGUUGAGAUUCUCAGUGGCAACCGUUGCCAGUUUUGCAAAAGAGCAGUGUUACUGGAGCCGGAUUUGGAAAGCAGAUUUUGUGAAAAGUCUAGGAUUCUGCUGUCUCCUAGGACUUGGUUCUAAUUUUGUCUUUGGGCUGUCCUCAAUGCUCCCACCUCUCACGCAUGUGUUCUAUUUGGGGGCUUAUUGUGGAGGAAGCCAGCUAAUGCUACAUCCAGAAAGAGAGAGGGAGAAAAAAAAGUCCAAAUAUAUAUUUUUCUUUAUUGAAAUAGAAAAACAAACUCAAAAUUAUCUGGAUUUUAUGUUUCCAGCCAUCUUUAGUCACAGACAGAGCUCAGCAAUCUGCUCACCUUGGCCCACUGAGAGCAGAUAUUUCACUGACAAUUUUUUGCUCACCUGUAAAAGUUUGUCUCUCACCAGCUGAGUAUUGGUUCCCCACCCUUCUCCUUCUUCAGACUCUACUCUAAUCCCCAUGCAUUCCCAGGCUUCCUGGGGCUGAUGUGGGAAGACAAAGGAGGAACCCAGGACCCUAAGAAAAGGCAGCCUUCUGAUACCCACUGCUAUGGGAUCAUUAUAGGAGGGCCAGUACUUGGGUAGCUGUGAGAUGCAGCAUAACUGUGCUCUCUGCAGGCAGGGCUUCUCCCUCAGGCUUGAGUUGUAUUUUUCAUGAACUUGUGCUGGGCCUUCCAGUGCCCAGCUCUUAGUCUUAGAAACUCCUUUGCUGCUAAGACCUUUCAGAGUGAGGCCUGAGGUAAGAGCAAAGCUGAAGGAGAUCAGGUGCCAGGCCUGCUCCAGUCCUGGUCUGGUCCUGGGGAUGAGCAUGUUGUGCAGGAUGGUAGGUUGGUUCUCCCCAUCUCGAGCCUUUGGGUGCUCUGGUUUCUUUGGCAUAUGGGUAUGCACUGGGUUGGUCCCUAGGAUCCUCUACCUGCCUUUUAGAAUGUAUGAAGUGGUCCUGGUUCCACCCUAAUGUGAAAGAAGAUCUUGCCAUCGUAUAGGCAAGAGCAAUGGGUCCCAACACAUGGCCUAAUGAUGGCCAUCAUAAGAUGAUCAGACCAUCUUUUUGUUAUUUGAGUUAUAACAACAAAGUAGAUUGAAGAUAGGUCCACUCUGUAGAACUAAAGUCAUAUGCAUUGCUUUUCUCUACUUGCCGAAUUGCUGUCUAGCACCCCCUUUUCUCUAUGAACUCCCCAUCUUUUCAAGGGCAUAAGGACCCCUUUUCUGGUUAGGAGAACAUGCAGGAAUUUAUUUUGAAUUUUCUCUUUAUUUCUGAUGCUGUGAGCACUUGGGCUUGGAGUUGGAGUGGUAGCUGGGUAUUAGGCCUUGACUGGGCUUUCCUCGUUUUCGGCAGAGCCCAGCUGGCUUUGGCCUGGUUUGGAGAUUCUCCAACCAAGUCCCACCCUCAGAGAGGUUGCCAUGCUCUCGCCAUUAGAGAAGCAGCAGGGAGUUACAGCCACAGCAGCUUUUGCAGAAUCCCUAGGAAACCUACAGGGACAAAGCAAAGUAAAGGAAAAGGUCCUGGAGAGGUGAGAUUUUCUCCAUUUUCAACAGGAGUUUUAGACUACAUUUUCCAAAAGUUGCUACAGCUCAUACAACUGCUUUGCAAACUCAACAUUUGAGUUUGGCCCAUUGAAAAAAAAGUUCACUUACUACUACUUUCUGUUUAUGUUGUGUUUCAGGCUUAGAGCCAGGCUUAGAGUUGUGAUGAAAGGAAAGCUCUGACUAAAAUAAUAUUUCUUGUCAUAGUAGUUAUUUUGUUUCGUAAGUGUUGACAUGUAAGUUGUUACUGCAUUUUACAGAUGAGGAAACUGAGCCUUAGGACUCAGAAAUAUUGUAAGGAACACAGUAAGAACAAGACACGUUAGGCGUUAUUAUCCUAGGUUUAAUCUGUUGCUAUUUGAGAAUGGCAUAGAGAGAGACAAAAGCUAUUACUUAGAGAAAGCUGGCUGCUCUCUUAGACCAGCUUUGAAGGAUAAGGACCCUGGUUAGGCCAUCACAGUCUAAGUCCAUAGUUCUCAGUCUUUGGCUUACAUCAGAAUCAGCUGUGGAGCUUUAAAAAAUAGAGAUUCCUAGGUCUUAUCCCAUACCUCCCAAAUUAGAAUCUCCAGGGACAGGUCUUGGAAGUCAACAUUAAAAAAAAAAAAAUGAAAAAACAAAAUAUCCUUGGUUGAGUGAUACUGUUGGGCAGCAACUUUGGAAACGAUCUAAGGUUUUACCUCUAAUUUUGGUCCUGAAAAUUCCUUGCCAGA